AGAGUUUGAUCCUGGCUCAGAGCGAACGCUGGCGGCAGGCUUAACACAUGCAAGUCGAGCGGGCCCUUCGGGGUCAGCGGCAGACGGGUGAGUAACACGUGGGAAUGUGCCCUUUGGUUCGGAACAACUCCGGGAAACUGGAGCUAAUGCCGGAUACGCCCUUCGGGGGAAAGAUUUAUCGCCAAAGGAUCGGCCCGCGUCUGAUUGGCUAGUUGGUGGGGUAAUGGCCUACCAAGGCGACGAUCAGUAGCUGGUCUGAGAGGAUGAUCAGCCACACUGGGACUGAGACACGGCCCAGACUCCUACGGGAGGCAGCAGUGGGGAAUAUUGGACAAUGGGCGCAAGCCUGAUCCAGCCAUGCCGCGUGAGUGAUGAAGGCCUUAGGGUUGUAAAGCUCUUUCACCCACGACGAUAAUGACGGUAGUGGGAGAAGAAGCCCCGGCUAACUUCGUGCCAGCAGCCGCGGUAAUACGAAGGGGGCUAGCGUUGCUCGGAAUCACUGGGCGUAAAGGGCGCGUGGGCGGAUUGUUAAGUCAGAGGUGAAAGCCCAGGGCUCAACCCUGGAAUUGCCUUUGAUACUGGCAAUCUUGAGACCGGAAGAGGUUAGUGGAACUGCGAGUGUAGAGGUGAAAUUCGUAGAUAUUCGCAAGAACACCAGUGGCGAAGGCGGCUGACUGGUCCGGUUCUGACGCUGAGGCGCGAAAGCGUGGGGAGCAAACAGGAUUAGAUACCCCCGUAGUCC
rnacentral:rRNA from 2 species